rnacentral:rRNA from 1 species
ACACAUGCAGUCGAACGCUGAAGCUUGGUGCUUGCACUGGGUGGAUGAGUGGCGAACGGGUGAGUAAUACGUGAGUAACCUGCCCUUGACUCUGGGAUAAGCCUGGGAAACUGGGUCUAAUACUGGAUAUGACCUCCUGUCGCAUGGUGGGGGGUGGAAAGGGUUUGUACUGGUUGUGGAUGGGCUCACGGCCUAUCAGCUUGUUGGUGGGGUAAUGGCCUACCAAGGCGACGACGGGUAGCCGGCCUGAGAGGGUGACCGGCCACACUGGGACUGAGACACGGCCCAGACUCCUACGGGAGGCAGCAGUGGGGAAUAUUGCACAAUGGGCGCAAGCCUGAUGCAGCGACGCCGCGUGAGGGAUGACGGCCUUCGGGUUGUAAACCUCUUUCAGCACGGAAGAAGCGAAAGUGACGGUACGUGCAGAAGAAGCGCCGGCUAACUACGUGCCAGCAGCCGCGGUAAUACGUAGGGCGCAAGCGUUGUCCGGAAUUAUUGGGCGUAAAGAGCUCGUAGGCGGUUUGUCGCGUCUGCUGUGAAAGCCCGGGGCUUAACCCCGGGUGUGCAGUGGGUACGGGCAGACUUGAGUGCAGUAGGGGAGACUGGAACUCCUGGUGUAGCGGUGAAAUGCGCAGAUAUCAGGAAGAACACCGAUGGCGAAGGCAGGUCUCUGGGCUGUUACUGACGCUGAGGAGCGAAAGCAUGGGGAGCGAACAGGA